rfam:Solanum tuberosum cultivar DM 1-3 516 R44 scf00072_70, whole genome shotgun sequence.
AGCCGCGUAAGUGAACACAGAACGAACAAUUUUUUUGCCUUUUACUAAAGAAUACCCAUGUGCACGCUGCAAAUAGUGGCUUACGCCUAUUUUUGAAGGGGUUCUAUCUAUUGAGUGCC